AAACUCCGCCCUUACACGCUUCCUCAUCAGUGAACUAGAGCGGAUCAAAACUUGUCGUCAACACGCUCAGCCCGCCUGGAGAAGUGGGGCAAAUCCUGGAGUUUGAUAUUUUUUCUCUGAAGCGGAUUAUCCUUUCUACAUAGUGUCCCGAAGAGGACAGACCAGAAGACACGAAGUGAUAAAGAAAGAUGCCGCUUCUUCACAAAAAGCCGUUCAUCCGACAGAAACCUCCCGUUGAUCUAAAGCCAGAGGAAGAAGUCUUCCUUUGCAAAGUCACACAUGAAAUCUUCAGAACUUACGAUCAAUUCUUUGAGAGGACCAUCCUGUG